rnacentral:misc_RNA from 1 species
AAGUCGUAACAAGGUCUCCGUUGGUGAACCAGCGGAGGGAUCAUUACAGAGUUGCAAAACUCCCCAAACCAUCGUGAACCUUUACCGCUAAACAGUUGCUUCGGCGGGUGGCCCGCCGGAGGAAUCCAAAAAACCAUCGCUUUCAGUACCGGCCUCUCUGAGUUACUGUACUUUUAAUUAAGUCAAAACUUUCAACAACGGAUCUCUUGGUUCUG